GAGGGGCAGUCAAGAUUUGUAGCGCUGCCGCUUGAGGUUACUAAGGCGAUGGGGAAAGAAAGAGAGGCGGCGGCGGCGGCGGCCCUGGCGCUGUGCUUGGGAGUGGCUUACUGGGGAUGGAUCCUGUUGACAUUAUCUCCGGGGAAACGCCCUGGAGAGCGGGCGGCUUCUUGGUAGAAAAUAUUGUAACAGGCCCUGGGCUAUCAGAAAUUAAGGAGAUCCAACAAGCAGAGUACGUUUAACAGAAUGUAUGGGCAGAAGAAAGAAGCAGAUGUGAAGUAAUAUCAGUGGUCAUCACAAAAGAACAACAUAAACAGACAGUGACAGUAACCCACAUGGCAAUUUCCCCCACCUCUGGAGAUGCCCUUUCCACUGUCCCACCAAACUCCCUUGCAGCUUCAGUCAGACCUGACACUUAAGUGCUCGUCCCUUCUGCUCUGGUACAUUACAGGACCAUCUAGAAUAGAUCAGCCUCUCUCUUUCAAGUCUUGGCUUCUCAGCUUCUGUAGCCUUCUUCCACAUAGGUGCUGCUGCUUGCUGCUUCAGACUGCUCUCCCUCACCAACAGCUCCAGCAACUGUUCAAUUGCUUCACCUGGUUACCUUGGUAACCUGGCAGGUAACCUCCUGCCUUCUCCUAGGCAUUGCAUCUUAGGUUACAAUAUUAUCCUUUGCUGCUACAUCUAUCCAGUGUGUGAUCCCCUCAGAAGGGAUUCCAUUCCACUAAUAACCAUCAGCAAUAUUAACAUAUUUGCCCACAUACUUUUAACACAGCCUGUGUAGAGUUCAGCUUCAAUGAGCCUUUAUAGAACACUUUAUAGAAUGUGGUUUGUUCUUUUUCAAUGGAUGCAUUUUUAAUAAAAGUAUCCCAUGUUGAGACACA